GAUGAACGCUGGCGGCGUGCCUAAUACAUGCAAGUCGAGCGAAUGGAUUAAGAGCUUGCUCUUAUGAAGUUAGCGGCGGACGGGUGAGUAACACGUGGGUAACCUGCCCAUAAGACUGGGAUAACUCCGGGAAACCGGGGCUAAUACCGGAUAACAUUUUGAACCGCAUGGUUCGAAAUUGAAAGGCGGCUUCGGCUGUCACUUAUGGAUGGACGCGCGUCGCAUUAGCUAGUUGGUGAGGUAACGGCUCACCAAGGAAACGAUGCGUAGCCGACCGGAGAGAGGGAUCGGCCACACUGGGACUGAGACACGGCCCAGACUCCUACGGGAGGCAGCAGUAGGGAAUCUUCCGCAAUGGACGAAAGUCUGACGGAGCAACGCCGCGUGAGUGAUGAGGGCUUUCGGGUCGUAAAACUCUGUUGUUAGGGAAGAACAAGUGCUAGUUGAAUAAGCUGGCACCUUGACGGUACCUAACCAGAAAGCCACGGCUAACUACGUGCCAGCCGCCGCCGUAA
rnacentral:rRNA from 1 species